GCAUGACGUAGACCCGAAACCGGGUGACCUAUCCAUGAGCAGGUUGAAGCGAAAGUAAAAUUUCGUGGAGGACCGAACCCACGAGCGUUGAAAAGCUCGGGGAUGACUUGUGGAUAGCGGUGAAAUUCCAAUCGAACCCGGAGAUAGCUGGUUCUCCCCGAAAUAGCUUUAGGGCUAGCCUCAGAUUCAGAGAUACGGAGGUAGAGCACUGAAUGUCCUAGGGGGUAUUGCACCUACCGAAGACUAUCAAACUCCGAAUGCCGUCAUCUUUUAUCUGGGAGUCAGACCGUGGGUGAUAAGAUUCACGGUCGAGAGGGCAACAGCCCAGACCGUCG
rnacentral:rRNA from 1 species